GGAGCAUCCUUGCAAGAGUCAACCCAAUGUGAAGACCACCAGACUGGAUGCAGCUUUCUCACUAACUACUGCCAGAAGAAGACAGUAGAAACUGGGUCUUG